UGGGUGGUAAUGCCGGAUGUUCCACAUGAGCGCAUGCGAGUGUGGGAAAGGCUUUUUGCGGCAUGGGAUGGGGUCGCGUCCUAUCAGCUUGUUGGUGGGGUAACGGCCUACCAAGGCGUUGACGGGUAGCCGGCCUGAGAGGGCGACCGGCCACAUUGGGACUGAGAUACGGCCCAGACUCCUACGGGAGGCAGCAGUGGGGAAUAUUGCACAAUGGGCGCAAGCCUGAUGCAGCGACGCCGCGUGCGGGAUGGAGGCCUUCGGGUUGUAAACCGCUUUUGUUCAAGGGCAAGGCACGGUUUUUGGCCGUGUUGAGUGGAUUGUUCGAAUAAGCACCGGCUAACUACGUGCCAGCAGCCGCGGUAAUACGUAGGGUGCAAGCGUUAUCCGGAUUUAUUGGGCGUAAAGGGCUCGUAGGCGGUUCGUCGCGUCCGGUGUGAAAGUCCAUCGCUUAACGGUGGAUCCGCGCCGGGUACGGGCGGACUGAUUCAAAAGG
rnacentral:rRNA from 1 species